UACAGAGGUCCCGAGCGUUGUUCGGAUUCACUGGGCGUAAAGGGUGCGUAGGUGGUGAGGUAAGUCGGAUGUGAAAUCUCCAGGCUCAACCUGGAAACUGCAUUGGAAACUACCUUGCUGGAGGAUUUGAGGGGGGAUUGGAAUACUUGGUGUAGCAGUGAAAUGCGUAGAUAUCAUUUGGAACGCCUAUGGUGAAAACAGGUAGCUGGGGCUGUGCUGACGCUGAGACACGAAAGCCAGGGGAGCAAACGGG
rnacentral:rRNA from 1 species